rnacentral:rRNA from 1 species
AGCGAACGCUGGCGGCAGGCCUAACACAUGCAAGUCGAACGAACUCUUCGGAGUUAGUGGCGGACGGGUGAGUAACACGUGGGAACGUGCCUUUAGGUUCGGAAUAACUCAGGGAAACUUGUGCUAAUACCGAAUGUGCCCUUCGGGGGAAAGAUUUAUCGCCUUUAGAGCGGCCCGCGUCUGAUUAGAUAGUUGGUGAGGUAAAGGCUCACCAAGGCGACGAUCAGUAGCUGGUCUGAGAUGAUGAUCAGCCACAUUGGGACUGAGACACGGCCCAAACUCCUACGGGAGGCAGCAGUGGGGAAUCUUGCGCAAUGGGCGAAAGCCUGACGCAGCCAUGCCGCGUGAAUGAUGAAGGUCUUAGGAUUGUAAAAUUCUUUCACCGGGGACGAUAAUGACGGUACCCGGAGAAGAAGCCCCGGCUAACUUCGUGCCAGCCGCCGCGGUAA